rnacentral:rRNA from 1 species
GUUCCCCUUCGGGGGACAGAGUGACAGGUGGUGCAUGGUUGUCGUCAGCUCGUGCCGUGAGAUGUUGGGUUAAGUCCCGCAACGAGCGCAACCCUUGAUCUUAGUUGCCAGCAUUUAGUUGGGCACUCUAAGGUGACUGCCGGUGACAAACCGGAGGAAGGUGGGGAUGACGUCAAAUCAUCAUGCCCCUUAUGACCUGGGCUACACACGUGCUACAAUGGAUGGUACAAAGAGUCGCAAACCCGCGAGGGCUAGCUAAUCUCAUAAAGCCAUUCUCAGUUCGGAUUGUAGGCUGCAACUCGCCUACAUGAAGCCGGAAUCGCUAGUAAUCGCGGAUCAGCAUGCCGCGGUGAAUACGUUCCCGGGCCUUGUACACACCGCCCGUCACACCACGAGAGUUUGUAACACCCGAAGUCGGUGAGGUAACCUUUUGGAGCCAGCCGCCUAAGGUGGGAUAGAUGAUUGGGGUGAAGUCGUAACAAGGUAGCCGUAUCGGAAGG